UACAGAGGUCCCAAGCGUUGUUCGGAUUCAUUGGGCGUAAAGGGUGCGUAGGCGGCGCGGUAAGUCGGGUGUGAAAUCUCGGAGCUUAACUCCGAAACUGCAUUCGAUACUGCCGUGCUUGAGGACUGGAGAGGAGACUGGAAUUUACGGUGUAGCGGUGAAAUGCGCAGAUAUCGAGAGGAACACCUGCGGCGAAGGCGGGUUGCUGGGCCGACACUGACGCUGAUGCGCGAAAGCCAGGGGAGCGAACGGG
rnacentral:rRNA from 1 species